ACCUCAGAUGGAAAUGCAGAAAUCACCCGUCUUCUGUGUCGCUCACCCUGGGAGCUGUAGACCGGAGCUGUUCCUAUGCAGCCAUCUUGGCUGCCACCUCUGAAAUGUCUGCAUUCCUGUAUCUGCUCUGUGCCCUUUGCUCUGCUUGGCCUGGCUGAAGGAAGCACCUCUACUCCACCACCAUCUGGGCCUUUCCUAAACCUUGUCACCUGAGAGCCAUUCUCAACCUGCAGAACUUCCAGGACAACACUUUAACUUGAUUACUUCCCCAACCUAUGCCCUCCAGCCACCAGAAAGAAGCCUUCAGGAGUCCCUACAGCACCCACGCAGGCCCUCUCCAGUUUUCCCCCUCCCUUCCUGAUGCUGUGAAAACCACAGAAUAAAUGUUUAUCACUUUCAAAAAUAUUAUAUAUAUAUAUAAUAUAAAUGAAUUUUUCUUUUUACUGCACAUAAUAUAGUACCCUGUUCACCUCUCAGAUAAAUAAAUCAUAAUUAUCAUUUUCUGCUUUUAAAUACCCUGAAAAUAUAAAAAGUUACAUAAAAUCAAUUUUUUGAAACAUAAGUGCCUUAUAAUUAAUCAAACUGUAUUCCUGUCUAUUAUAUUAAGGUUUUUUUUUUCUUUUUCUGUGUGGUAUAAAUGCAACUAUGAGAAAUUCUUACAACUCUUUCUAGUCAUAGAAGGAUAUUACUAUUUUGAAAGCUUUAGUGCAUAUCAACAAUAUGACAUUGAGAAAUGUUGGAUUAAGUUGUCUCACCACCAGCAUUGCUUGGAAGUGCCUAUCUCUCUAAACACUGUCACUAACAUGGGGAAUUAUCAUUAAAGAAAAGAAAGUCUCAUCAACUUCUAGUCUUGAAAAUAUGUCAUAAUUAUAUAGGUAAAUCCUUGAGUGCUACAGUUUAGUCAUUUUUUACAUGUUUGUUGGUUCCUAUACAUAGUACCAUAUUUUUAUAAAGACAUCAAUUAUUAUCCAUUAAGGACUGUUAAACAUAUCAGUAACUCAUCCUUAUAUAUACUGACAUCUUUUCCAAGCUUCUCAUUUAUCAAGUUUCAUAUAAUAUUUGCAAAUAUUGGAGUUUUAAUUUAUAUGUAGUUAAAUACAUACUUUAUUUUCUGGGUGAUUCUUUUCUGUUUUUUUUUUUUUUUGUAGUUGUUUUUAUGCUUAGAAAGUUCUUCACUAUUUUGAUAAUAAAUAUUAGCUAAUGUUUCCUUUAAAUUGUUAUACUAUUUGGAAUUUAUUUGUUGUUUUAAAUUUCUACUACGUCUGAAGUAUAUCUUUGUUAUAUGAUAUAUGCUAGAAUAGAUUUUUAAUAUUUAAAGUUUUUAAAAUUUUUAUUUGCACUAAUUGUUGAAUAAUGCCUAUAUUCUUUAUAGAUUUUCUUUAUCAUCCUUUAGAAAGUACAUUCUGUAUACACACGGGCAUACAAACACACACAGUGUUCCAACACAAUCUAUCAUAUCAACUUGACUGAUACUACAUCAAUUUUUCUAUUAAUAAGCCACAUUAUUUAACUAUACAAUAUAUGUACUAAAGUACAUUCUUGUAGAACUCUUGUUUUCCACUUGUAUUUGUUAAAAUUAUCUCAUAUUGUUCUUCAUGAACUAAUAAAAGAUUUGAGGGAGAAAGAGGAUCUAUACAUUUAAAUCUUACUAUCCAAGAAUAUGAUGUGAUUUGUUCAAGUCUUCUCUUUUGUCUCUGAGUUAAGAUUUAUAAUUUUUGUCUUAUAAAUCUGUGUAUUUCUUAUUAAAUUUAAGGGAAACUCUUAAAAAUGAAAAGGGUAUAAUUUUUGCUAUUUUUUUCCUGUGUUCUCUCUAACUUAAUGAUCACUCAACUUGAAUUGCAAGGUAAUUUCUACAAGGGUCUCUCUCAGUUGCAGAGCAGUGAAUGGUGGUUAAGGUCCUGUCUCUGGAGCCCAACAUGUCUGAAUUUGCAAACCCAUCUUACCACUUAUCUGUGUGCCCUUAGCAAGAUAGUUAAGCUUUCUUUACCUCUGUUUCCUCAUUUAUCAAAUAGAGUUAUUAACAAAAAAAAAUUCUGAGGUGUCUUGAGAAAUAGAAGUAAGUUAAUAACAAUAGAAGUGCCAAACCAUUAUUAAGUGCUCAAUUAUAAUCCCUAAUCUUUUUAAGUGCUCAAAUAUAGGAUGUUAACUAUUAUUAAUAGCAUUAUAUCGUACUACUAAAAUAAAGUGAGAAUAUUCAAUUAAUUGGAAAGUCAAUAUACUGAAGAAAUGGAGCAGUGAUACAACCAAUGUGUUUGGGUUUAGUCAAAUUAAUUAACUGAAUUAUGUAGCCAUCAGAGACCGUGAGACAUCCAGAAUUUUAAUAUUCCUGUCAAAACAAGUCAAAGUAUCAUUUGAUUCUGGUGAAACGAUCUAUGACAGCCAAAGGAGCAUAAUCUAUAAUAACAAUUAUUUUAGCAAAGUUAAAAAGUUUAUUCAUUAUGAUUAUAAUGAUUUUUGCAUUACUCAUAUAUAUUUCUGUUCUAUAAGUUAAAUGUAAAUCAUAUGCCUUUUUAGUAAUACAUCAAAUUAGUAGAACAUAUGUUUUAAUGUAUCUUCAUAAAUUUUAUUUUAUUAAAAAGAUAGUAUUUUGAGUAAUGACAUAAACAGCUUUAAAGUGAAAUGAUCUCGGAUUUAUUUAUUACUUAUAAAAGAUUUUAAUCAAUAAAUAUGUAUUCUUGAUCCUGGAAAAAAUAGAGGACUAAGAAAAUCUACACGCCCUUCAGCUAAAAGACCUAGGCUUCCUUAAAUAUAACAAUUAAUAUAAUUAUUCACACUAAUAACAACAAUAAUUAGAAAAUGUAAAGUUGGCAGAAAUAAAAAAAUAAAAAUAAAAUGUUAAACACAGGAGCCACUGUUGAGACUGCAACCUCAAACUGCUUUGGAAGAGGUGGUGGAAUAAAUAUGAGACGAUGUUCUGUAAAAACUUGGUGCUCACAGACAUACAAUCACAGGUUAAAAGACUUUGAGUCUGAACCAAACUCAGAGCAACAAAUGAAACUGCAUGAACCAUAAUGCUUGAAAGGCUACAUCAGCAUGAAAGGAAGAACCAGAAAAUGCCUCCCUGUGCGUUACAGGCAAAAGAAAAAAUAACCUUGUUUCUUCCUGGUUUGAGGGAUAGUUUAUGAGGCGUGGGGUGGAGUUUCCUGAGAAACUGAAAACUGUGUUUCAGAAUCCUUGUGGGUAGAAAAUUUUCAAGUGAAGAAAAUAUUAAAAAUGGUACCAGGAUGCUAUUGUCAUGUCAGCUUCUGGCUAAGGCAAGCACAAAAUCUUGGGAAAGACAAAAUGGCCUUAAAGAAAAAUAAAUAAAUAAAUAAACUCAUACUUUUACACAUUUAGUAAAACUACAGAACAAUAUUUGCAAAAAGAUAACCAUAAAAGGAGAAAAAAGCUCACUAAAUUUUCAACAAAAGAACAUUUAUCAGAUAUAUAUUUAGGUAUCUUAACCUCAAAUGUAGGCCAAACACAAUAGAAUAAUAUCAUCAAAUCCAUCAGUAAAAAAAGUCAACCCGAUUUCUAUAUCCCAUUCAACUAUAAUGUGAGAAUAAGGGCAAAAACAGUUUCUUUUUUUCAGGAAAAAAUAUUCUGUCACUCACUCAUGAAAGUGAAAUCAAAUCCAGUUGAGAGAAAGCUAGAAGAAACAUUACACAGUGUAAUUGGUAGGUAUAUGAGUAAAUCUGAACAAUCAUAAACUAUGAAAAAUAGUAAUGAUGAUAGUUACCAAUUGAGAAUAUAUAGAUAUAAUAACAAGAUAGGCUUGGGUUAAUGAAAAUUACAACAUUCUAUCUUAAUAUUAUUCAGAAAGAGGCUAGUAGAGACAGCGAUUAAGAAACUUCCACGUCUGAGUGCAGUGGCUCACACCUGUAAUACCAGGGUUUGGGAGGUUGAGGUGAGAGGAUUGCCUGAGCGUAGGCACUCGAGAUUACAGUGAGCUCUAACUGUGCCACUAUACUCCAGCCUGGGCAACAGAGGUAGACCCAGUCUCUAAAAACAAACAAACAAAUAAAAAGAAAGAAAUUUCUACUGUCUAAGUAUUUGUGUAAAUGUAAACCUAAUUGCCAAAAAUAUAAGAGGAAAUAAUAGAAAAUGAAGUGAACAUGAUAAAUAAACUAGCAAGCUGAAAAGGAAAACAAUUAAUAGGUAUAUAAAAUUCAAAGUUGAAACAAAGUUACUAGAAAUUAUCAAUGUAUGUAUAUAUGUAUGUAUAAUAGUACAUGCUUUUAAUAAUAUAUAAUUAUAAUAUAUAUCACUGCAUAUUAUUUACUAUAUAUGCUUAGAAAUAAAGAAUGGAGAGGAGAAUUAAAAUAUUGACUAUAAAGUUAUAUAUACACACAUAUUUGCAUGUAAAUAUAUUUACAUACUAACCAGUGUAUAUGCAUAUAUAUGCUCAAAUUGGUAAUAAAAAGGAAAAUUACUGAUAUUAUUUCUGUGGUUCCACAGGAAAAAAAAGCCACUUUAAAUCUUUAUAUCUCUAGAAACAAACUACUAAAUUUAUAAAGCAAACAUUUUAACAUUAACAAGUAGACAACAAAAGCUUCACAAUCACAUUGGAGAUUUUAAUGUGUAAUUUGCACAAUAGAUAAAUAGAAUAGACAAAAAUAAGCAAUGAUAUGAAACAUUGUAAUUAACAUAUUUAGCAAAUUUGACUUAAAUAACAUAUGAAGAAACACUUUUUAAAGCCAUUCAUGGAAUACUUAGAAAUAUUGACCAUGUAUUAAGCAACAGAAGAAAUCUCAGCAGGGUCUUAGCAAAUGAAUCUGUAAUCACAUACAAUUAUUACAACUCAAUAAUGAAGAUAUAAGACUCAGCACCUUACUUUCUGAAAUUUAAAAAUUACUGCAAAAUAAUUCAUUAAAAUGAAUAUGACAAAUUAGUCACAUGAAUACAAAAACACAGUAUUGCUGUAUCCCUAAAAUUCAGUUAAAAUAGCAUUUAGAAGAAAACUUUUAGCAUAUAUUUAUAUAUUAGAAAGGAAGAAAAAAUGGAUAUUAAUGUGCACAACUUUAAAUCUCAUAAAGAACAAGAGAAAUUGAUAGAAAGCUUUGUAAGGUGACUAUUAUAUGUAAAUUUUGAAUUUAAUAAAGGUAAAAAGUCAAAGAUAUUAGUGACAAGAAAACGUUUUCUUUGUAAAUGUAAUUCAACCAAAAAAUACUCCUCUGGUAUGACUGAUCAAUAAGUAUGAGGAACGUUACAAAUUUUAUAUGUAUAUGAAAUUUAAAAUGUCACGAAUUAAUACUAUAAAUAAAUUAUAUGUUCUUAAAGUAGAAAUUUUAAUUCAAGACAACUUUCACAAAAUACAAUUAUCUAUACUGACACAAGAAGUAUAACAAAAAGAAAAUAGACCUGUAAUUAUUUUCACACAUGAACCACACGUCAGUUUUUAGGAAAAUUCUAUCAAAUUUUCAGGAAAUGAAUCAUCAAUAUUAUGCAAAUUGUUUCAAAUGAUGGAACAAGAUGGAAUUAACUCACUGAUUUUUAUAAUUUAGCAAUAAUCUCUCACUGUAUACAAAAAUCAACUCAAAAUGCAUUGAAGACUUAAAUGUAAGAUCUGAAUCUAUGAAACUACCAGAAGAAAACAUUGGGGAAAACACUACAGGACAUUGGUCUGGGCAAAGAUUUUUGAGUAAGGCCUCAAAAGCAUAGGCAGCACAAGCAAAAAUGUACAAAUGGGAUUACAUCAAGCUAAAAAGCUUCUACACAGCGAAGGAAAUAAUCAGCAAAGUGAAGAGACGGCCUACAGAAUGAAGAAAAUAUUUGCAAACUAUCCAUCUGAUAAAGGAUUAAUAAAUGAAAUAUAUCAGGAACAAAAAUCUUGAUAGCAAAAAAUCAUAUAAUCCAAUUUAAAAUGGAUCAAUGAUCUGAAUAGAUAUUUCUCAAAAGAACACAUAAAAUAGCCAACAGCUAUCUGAAAAAAUACUCAAUAUCACUAAUUAUUAGGAAAAUGCAAGUCAAAACCACAAUGAGAUACCAUCAGACCCCAGUUAAAAUGGCCAUUAUUAGAAAGACAAUGACUAAGAGAUGCUGGUGAAGAUGAGCAAAAGGGUAACACUGAGGUCUGUUAUUAGGUACAAAAAUACAGGUGGGAUAGAAGGAAUAAAUUCUAGUGUCCAAUAGCACAAUAGGAUGACUAUAGUUAACAAUAAUUUACUGCGUAUUUUAAAAAUACCUAAAAGAUUUAAAAUGUUUUCAACACAGAGACACAAUACAUGUUUGAGUUGGUGGAUAUCCUAAUUACCCUGAUUUGAUAAUUACACAUUGCACGCAUGUAUCAAAAUAUUUCCAUGUACCCAAUAAAUAUGUACAAUUAUUAUGUAUCAAUAUUGAAAAUAUUAAUAACAAUAUCUGAGAAGACUAUACCUGAAGAAAAUUACAGAUCAAUUUCAACUGUGAAUAUUGACAUUACAAAAACCUAAACAGAUAUGUUCUUUAAAGAGAAACCUCACAUGCAAACACACAGAUAGAUACCCACUGCUGUUUCAUGUAAUAAACUUUGUACUAGAAGUUCCAGCCUGUGUACGAAACCAAGAAAAAUAAAUUAAGAGACAAAAACAGCACACUGUCGUUAUUAGCGGAUGUAUUUUUCCACCCAGAACACUCUAAACAUGCUAUAGAAACAUUAUUUCAACUAAUAAUUUUAAGACAUUUGCUGCUUAUAAGAGCAAUAUAUGAAAAAAAGUGAAUACAGUUAAACAACAAAAUAAAUAUAGUCAGUGUUUGGGUCCUGGUGCUAUAAAAAUAAUAAAAAAAGAUUUUGGUAUUGUUUAAUCUUUAAAUAAGCUAUGAUUUGUUUAAAGACUUUACAUAUUUCUAUUAGUGUUCAUUAGCAUUUUUAGUCCUGUUUAUAAUGUAACACUCCUUUUCUUUAAAAUAUUCCAUGUUUCAUGUCAUAAAAUACAAAGCUCAAAUCAAACCAGAGUGUGUGUUUUUUAAGUAAAUCAUUAAAAUUGACAACACUUCUUAUUGACUUUAUAGGUUAUAUUUACAUUUGUAAGUGUUUCUUAAGAUAGUGUAGUAAUUACGUUCAUUAAACAAUAUAUUAUUAACCCUAAUCUAGAAUUUAUUUAUUUGAUUGGGCUAAUCUUAGAUUCUUACACUGUUCCUGUCUUUAAAAUCAUUUUCAAACAUUGAAAUCUCAUACAAGUUUUAAAAUUGUGCUUAAAAUCAUAUAAACUUUAUUGUCUUGAAAACUGUUAAGUAAGUACAUUACGGUAGUGUUAACUAUAUGCAUGUUGUUAUUCAACACAAUCUCAUCAAUUUUAAGAACAAUUUAUUGUGGAAGCAACUGGCAACCCAUUAAGUCACAGGUGAUUUUAAGUAAAUUUCAAGUAUAACUUGUCAAGUGGAAUCUUAAUGCUUUUGAAGAUAAAAUCUUAUAAUCUAGUUUUCUCUCUUCCAUUUUAAAGAGUGAUAGCUAUAAUGAAAUCACCUUAAACUCCUCAUUGAAUUAUGCCUCUUUGUUUCAAUCACUUUUUAAAAAAUCACUUCUAUUUGAUUUGAGGACAACAUUUCCCUUCAUUUUCUCAGUUACACUAUUAAACUGUGAAAUAUAUGUAUAAAUCAUACAUUAUUUAACAUAUGUUGUAAAAUGUGCAGUAGACUCAGUCCCAUAUAAAGAAAAACAUCGCAUCAGUAAUUAAUCAAUAAAAACUAAAAAAUGAUUUUACCUUAGAAAUAAGACUGUGAUUAAUCUAAGGAAUAGUAAAGGUAGUGUGUUUAGGUUAGGGAGACUAUUAUUGUCUUACAGAUGUAAAUUUGCAUUAAUAUUUACACUUUUAUAUCAGUUAUAAAAACUAGAAUUCUGUAUUAUAUAAGAAUUUUGUAUCCCCAAGUCAUUGUCAUUUGGUGUUCAUUCUUAACAUUAGAACCACUCUAUACACUGCAAAACAAGUUUUACUUUCAGUAUUUAAUUUAUAAAAUCCUUUCAAAACACUUCUUUUCAAGGGAAUUCUAAAAAAUUCUAAUCCUUUUCACUAAAGGUAAAUAUAAACAAUCGAUGAUAUUAAUGUAGUGAAAAAGUUCGAUGUUUAUAUAGUGAAAAAUUGAGGAAAUUUUGAUUUAAAUAGAUGGUUAGGAAAAAACUGAUGGUAUAAAAUUCCUUCCAAUUGUAAUAUUACAGUUGUGCUGAUUGGGUAAAUGGCAAAAUAAUAAGUUUUUUUAUUGUUAUGGCAAAUAACUAAGGAUAUCUAGAAUGUUGAGAUAGAAAAAUUUUCAUGGCUUUAUACCCCGCCCUAAAAUGUUGGAAAGAUAUAUUACUUUUUGUGUUUAAAUGGUCUUAUGUACUUCAAAGUGAUGUUUCAAAAAAUGUUACCUGCAACAUUGAGUCUUUGUGUCCUCAUGCCUUUGAAAUUUCUUAUUGAAAUAAAAUUGACAUAAGUGAGCAA